rnacentral:rRNA from 1 species
UUGCCCUACGGGAGGCAGCAGUGGGGAAUAUUGGUCAAUGGGCGGAAGCCUGAACCAGCCAAGUCGCGUGAGGGAAUAAGGCCCUACGGGUCGUAAACCUCUUUUGCCGGGGAGCAAGGGCGGGGACGUGUCCCGGCCCGGAGAGUACCCGGAGAAAAAGCAUCGGCUAACUCCGUGCCAGCAGCCGCGGUAAUACGUAGGUGGCAAGCGUUAUCCGGAUUUACUGGGUGUAAAGGGCGAGUAGGCGGGAUUGCAAGUCAGAUGGGAAAACUAUGGGCUCAACCGAUAGAGGGCAUUUGAAACUG